rnacentral:snRNA from 1 species
UGGGGAUCAUAUCGCUUUAACUC